UACGAAGGGGGCUGGCGUUGCUCGGAAUCACUGGGCGUAAAGGGUGCGUAGGCGGGGCUUUAAGUCAGGGGUGAAAUCCUGGAGCUCAACUCCAGAACUGCCUUUGAUACUGAAGAUCUUGAGUGCGGGAGAGGUGAGUGGAACUGCGAGUGUAGAGGUGAAAUUCGUAGAUAUUCGCAAGAACACCAGUGGCGAAGGCGGCUCACUGGCCCGAUACUGACGCUGAGGCACGAAAGCGUGGGGAGCAAACAGG
rnacentral:rRNA from 1 species